UUUAGAAUCAUUUUACAAAGGACAACAAAAAAAGUUAAAAUCUAUACAGCCAUGACUUGAAAUUGCUAUGGUGCGAAGCUACAUUCACCUACAAGAAUGAGUAUUGUAAUGGAAAGACAUAUACACCAAACUAAUGAAAGAUUGAAGUGCAUCCAAGAGGCUCUGAACACUUCCAAUGGCUUCCAGACUGCAGCGAGAGAAUUACUGGAAUGGUGCGGAGAUACCAGAGCUUUUCAGAAACCCUUUGAGCAAGCUCUCAUG